AGAAAGAAUGGCAAUAAUAUCGGAAGAUGCAUCAUUGGAAGCAAAAAAAAACUUCACGGCAUUUCAAGUUCGCGGGGAAUCACUGAGCUUUGGAAAAUCUAAAGAAAGCUUUCACAUUACACUACUUCGCGCGAGUUACCGCAAUCCAACGAACACCUGAGUUUUAACAUUGUGAACUUUAUUCCUUUAAAACAAGAGUGAUAUUUCUCUACGUUUCAUUUAAUGAAUCCGAUUUUUAUAUUUGUCUAAGAAAUAUCAGGUAUAAAAGGAUGCACUGGGAGUUCUAAACUUCAUUCUGAAUCCGAACAGUGGUGAUUAUUUUUCAUUCAAUAGAAAAAUAUAGAAUUUCAGUAAAAAUAUGAAGUUUAGCAAGGUUUUGUUCAUCUUUUUCGCUAUCAUUUUGGCGUUCGCUGCCGCUAACCCUGCGCCUAAAUUCAGGCCUUUUAAGAAACUGGAAAAACUCGGGCAGCGUGUAAGAGAUGGCCUCAUCAAAGCCGGUCCAGCAAUCAAAGUUAUUGGAGACGCUCAAUCUAUCGUCAAGGGAGCCAAAGGAUAAUUUACCUUAAACUCAUAUCAACAGAGCCGCUAAUUAUGAUAACCACCGAAAUGCAUUCGUACUUUUAAUAAAUUAACUUAUUUUAAAUCAAA